UGGGGAAUUUUGGACAAUGGGCGAAAGCCUGAUCCAGCAAUGCCGCGUGUGUGAAGAAGGCCUUCGGGUUGUAAAGCACUUUUGUCCGGAAAGAAAUCCUUGGCUCUAAUACAGUCGGGGGAUGACGGUACCGGAAGAAUAAGCACCGGCUAACUACGUGCCAGCAGCCGCGGUAAUACGUAGGGUGCAAGCGUUAAUCGGAAUUACUGGGCGUAAAGCGUGCGCAGGCGGUUUGCUAAGACCGAUGUGAAAUCCCCGGGCUCAACCUGGGAACUGCAUUGGUGACUGGCAGACUAGAGUAUGGCAGAGGGGGGUAGAAUUCCACGUGUAGCAGUGAAAUGCGUAGAGAUGUGGAGGAAUACCGAUGGCGAAGGCAGCCCCCUGGGCCAAUACUGACGCUCAUGCACGAAAGCGUGGGGAGCAAACAGGAUUAGAUACCCUGGUAGUCCACGCCCUAAACGAUGUCAACUAGUUGUUGGGGAUUCAUUUCCUUAGUAACGUAGCUAACGCGUGAAGUUGACCGCCUGGGGAGUACGGUCGCAAGAUUAAAACUCAAAUGAAUUGACGGGGUCAUAGCUGUUUCCU
rnacentral:rRNA from 1 species